GGGAUUGUAGCUCAGCGGGAGAGCACACGGCUGAAGACCGUGGUGUCCGGGGUUCAAAUCCCCGCAGUCCCA
rnacentral:tRNA from 2 species